UAUACCAUUUGCAAAAGUAGACAACCUAAGGUAUUGCAAGUGGGGUAUGUCCAGUCUUUUUUAGUAGCCACUUAGUCACUUAGCCACUUAGUCACAAACACUGGCCAAAGUUAGAGUUUAUAUUUGUUUUUGUGUGAAAAAAGCAACAACAAAAAAAUAUCUGUUUGUGAAUAAGUGGCUACUAAAAAAGUCUGGACAUACCCCAAUUGCAAUACCUUGGGUUGUCUACUUUUGCAAAUGGUAUG